rnacentral:rRNA from 1 species
AGUGAACGCUGGCGGUAGGCCUAACACAUGCAAGUCGAACGGCAGCACAGUAAGAUCUUGCUUUUACGGUUGGCGGGGGACGGACGGGUAAGAAAUACAUCGCAAUCUACUUUUUCUUGGGGGAUAACGUGGGAAAACUUCCGCUACUACCGAAUACAACCUACGGGUUAAAGCAGGGGAUCUUGGACCUUUGGCCGUUUCAUUGAGCCGAUGCCGGUUUGGCUUAUUGGCGGGGUAAGGUCCCCCCAAGGCAACGAUCCGUAGCUGGUCUGAGAGGAUGAUCAGCCACACUGGAACGGAGACACGGUCCAGACUCCUAGGGGAGGCAGCAGUGGGGAAUAUUGGACAAUGGGCGCAAGCCUGAUGCAGCCAUACCGCGUGGGUGAAGAAGGCUUUCGGGUUGUAAAGCCCUUUUGUAGGGAAAGAAAAGCAGGAGGGUAAUACCGCGCGGCUCUGACGGUACCAAAAGAAUAAGCACCGGCUAACUUCGU